rnacentral:rRNA from 1 species
UACAGAGGGUGCAAGCGUUGUUCGGAAUUACUGGGCGUAAAGGGCUCGUAGGCGGCCAACUAAGUCAGCCGUGAAAUCCCUCGGCUUAACCGGGGAACUGCGUCUGAUACUGGAUGGCUUGAGUUUGGGAGAGGGAUGCGGAAUUCCAGGUGUAGCGGUGAAAUGCGUAGAUAUCUGGAGGAACACCGGUGGCGAAGGCGGCAUCCUGGACCAACACUGACGCUGAGGAGCGAAAGCCAGGGGAGCAAACGGG